rnacentral:lncRNA from 1 species
CUUUUCUUAGGACUUUGGCAUAUAGAUAUUAUGCUUACGUGUUAUGUGUUACGUGCUCUUAUGUGUUUAUUUGUUUUAAUUUAUGCUUUAUUUGCUUCACUAUAUAUUGUUAAUGCAUAACGUCACCACACUAGUCCAACGCUAGUUGUGGCUUCUCCCUCCGCUUACUUGCUAGUCCAACGCUAGUAAGUAUUUUUAGAAAUGGGUUAGUCCAACGCUAUACCCUUAGAUUGUUCAUGCAUUAGAUUCAUCUUUUGUGUGAUAUCCAUUACAUUUCCAUGUAUAUUUUAUUUUUUAGAAUUUUCUCAUUUGCAUGAUAUUUUCUAUUAUAUUAUCCUCUACCCCCUAC